rnacentral:rRNA from 1 species
GGUUAAGCGACUAAGCGUACACGGUGGAUGCCCUGGCAGUCAGAGGCGAUGAAGGACGUGCUAAUCUGCGAUAAGCGUCGGUAAGGUGAUAUGAACCGUUAUAACCGGCGAUUUCCGAAUGGGGAAACCCAGUGUGAUUCGUCACACUAUCAUUAACUGAAUCCAUAGGUUAAUGAGGCGAACCGGGGGAACUGAAACAUCUAAGUACCCCGAGGAAAAGAAAUCAACCGAGAUUCCCCCAGUAGCGGCGAGCGAACGGGGAGCAGCCCAGAGCCUGAAUCAGUGUGUGUGUUAGUGGAAGCGUCUGGAAAGGCGUGCGAUACAGGGUGACAGCCCCGUACACAAAAAUGCACAUGCUGUGAGCUCGAUGAGUAGGGCGGGACACGUGGUAUCCUGUCUGAAUAUGGGGGGACCAUCCUCCAAGGCUAAAUACUCCUGACUGACCGAUAGUGAACCAGUACCGUGAGGGAAAGGCGAAAAGAACCCCGGCGAGGGGAGUGAAAAAGAACCUGAAACCGUGUACGUACAAGCAGUGGGAGCACAGAGCAAUCUGUGUGACUGCGUACCUUUUGUAUAAUGGGUCAGCGACUUAUAUUCUGUAGCAAGGUUAACCGAAUAGGGGAGCCGAAGGGAAACCGAGUCUUAACUGGGCGUUAAGUUGCAGGGUAUAGACCCGAAACCCGGUGAUCUAGCCAUGGGCAGGUUGAAGGUUGGGUAACACUAACUGGAGGACCGAACCGACUAAUGUUGAAAAAUUAGCGGAUGACUUGUGGCUGGGGGUGAAAGGCCAAUCAAACCGGGAGAUAGCUGGUUCUCCCCGAAAGCUAUUUAGGUAGCGCCUCGUGAAUUCAUCUCCGGGGGUAGAGCACUGUUUCGGCAAGGGGGUCAUCCCGACUUACCAACCCGAUGCAAACUGCGAAUACCGGAGAAUGUUAUCACGGGAGACACACGGCGGGUGCUAACGUCCGUCGUGAAGAGGGAAACAACCCAGACCGCCAGCUAAGGUCCCAAAGUCAUGGUUAAGUGGGAAACGAUGUGGGAAGGCCCAGACAGCCAGGAUGUUGGCUUAGAAGCAGCCAUCAUUUAAAGAAAGCGUAAUAGCUCACUGGUCGAGUCGGCCUGCGCGGAAGAUGUAACGGGGCUAAACCAUGCACCGAAGCUGCGGCAGCGACGCUUAUGCGUUGUUGGGUAGGGGAGCGUUCUGUAAGCCUGCGAAGGUGUGCUGUGAGGCAUGCUGGAGGUAUCAGAAGUGCGAAUGCUGACAUAAGUAACGAUAAAGCGGGUGAAAAGCCCGCUCGCCGGAAGACCAAGGGUUCCUGUCCAACGUUAAUCGGGGCAGGGUGAGUCGACCCCUAAGGCGAGGCCGAAAGGCGUAGUCGAUGGGAAACAGGUUAAUAUUCCUGUACUUGGUGUUACUGCGAAGGGGGGACGGAGAAGGCUAUGUUGGCCGGGCGACGGUUGUCCCGGUUUAAGCGUGUAGGCUGGUUUUCCAGGCAAAUCCGGAAAAUCAAGGCUGAGGCGUGAUGACGAGGCACUACGGUGCUGAAGCAACAAAUGCCCUGCUUCCAGGAAAAGCCUCUAAGCAUCAGGUAACAUCAAAUCGUACCCCAAACCGACACAGGUGGUCAGGUAGAGAAUACCAAGGCGCUUGAGAGAACUCGGGUGAAGGAACUAGGCAAAAUGGUGCCGUAACUUCGGGAGAAGGCACGCUGAUAUGUAGGUGAAGUCCCUCGCGGAUGGAGCUGAAAUCAGUCGAAGAUACCAGCUGGCUGCAACUGUUUAUUAAAAACACAGCACUGUGCAAACACGAAAGUGGACGUAUACGGUGUGACGCCUGCCCGGUGCCGGAAGGUUAAUUGAUGGGGUUAGCGCAAGCGAAGCUCUUGAUCGAAGCCCCGGUAAACGGCGGCCGUAACUAUAACGGUCCUAAGGUAGCGAAAUUCCUUGUCGGGUAAGUUCCGACCUGCACGAAUGGCGUAAUGAUGGCCAGGCUGUCUCCACCCGAGACUCAGUGAAAUUGAACUCGCUGUGAAGAUGCAGUGUACCCGCGGCAAGACGGAAAGACCCCGUGAACCUUUACUAUAGCUUGACACUGAACAUUGAGCCUUGAUGUGUAGGAUAGGUGGGAGGCUUUGAAGUGUGGACGCCAGUCUGCAUGGAGCCGACCUUGAAAUACCACCCUUUAAUGUUUGAUGUUCUAACGUUGACCCGUAAUCCGGGUUGCGGACAGUGUCUGGUGGGUAGUUUGACUGGGGCGGUCUCCUCCUAAAGAGUAACGGAGGAGCACGAAGGUUGGCUAAUCCUGGUCGGACAUCAGGAGGUUAGUGCAAUGGCAUAAGCCAGCUUGACUGCGAGCGUGACGGCGCGAGCAGGUGCGAAAGCAGGUCAUAGUGAUCCGGUGGUUCUGAAUGGAAGGGCCAUCGCUCAACGGAUAAAAGGUACUCCGGGGAUAACAGGCUGAUACCGCCCAAGAGUUCAUAUCGACGGCGGUGUUUGGCACCUCGAUGUCGGCUCAUCACAUCCUGGGGCUGAAGUAGGUCCCAAGGGUAUGGCUGUUCGCCAUUUAAAGUGGUACGCGAGCUGGGUUUAGAACGUCGUGAGACAGUUCGGUCCCUAUCUGCCGUGGGCGCUGGAGAAUUGAGGGGGGCUGCUCCUAGUACGAGAGGACCGGAGUGGACGCAUCACUGGUGUUCGGGUUGUCAUGCCAAUGGCACUGCCCGGUAGCUAAAUGCGGAAGAGAUAAGUGCUGAAAGCAUCUAAGCACGAAACUUGCCCCGAGAUGAGUUCUCCCUGACUCCUUGAGAGUCCUGAAGGAACGUUGAAGACGACGACGUUGAUAGGCCGGGUGUGUAAGCGCAGCGAUGCGUUGAGCUAACCGGUACUAAUGAACCGUGAGGCUUAACCUU